CGGGCUUGAACUGCCGGUGCUGGCAUGAGAGAUCAUGCUUUCCUUCGGGACACUGGUGGAGGUGCUGCAUGGUUGUCGUCAGCUCGUGCCGUGAGGUGUCGGCUUAAGUGCCAUAACGAGCGCAACCCCUGUCGUCAGUUGCCAUCAGGUAAUGCUGGGCACUCUGGUGAUACUGCCACCGUAAGGUGUGAGGAAGGUGGGGAUGACGUCAAAUCAGCACGGCCCUUACGUCCGGGGCUACACACGUGUUACAAUGGCGUGUACAGCGAGUCGGUACCGGGCAACCGGUAUCCAAUCAAAAAAACACGUCUCAGUUCGGACUGGGGUCUGCAACCCGACCCCACGAAGCUGGAUUCGCUAGUAAUCGCGCAUCAGCCAUGGCGCGGUGAAUACGUUCCCGGGCC
rnacentral:rRNA from 1 species